UGCAGAGGAGGGGAUCCGGCAAAUCCCGAAAAUAUUCCUUGAGGAGCGCCGCCACGUCGUGCGGACACUGAUCCACGCCGAUUUUCGACUCCCGUCCGCAGUCGAAAUCUUCUCGCAGCUUGAACGGUGACACCCGGAACACACCGAGGGUGUGGAGGCCGCUGUUCUCGAUGUGUUUUAUGCACUGCUGGACUAUCCAGGGCACCGAAUCCCAUUCGCCGGGGGUCCCGCCGCUCCCUCCGCCGUCGCUGAGUUCGAGCAUACCGGAAUCGCUGCUCGUCAACGCUCCACCUUUCGAAGCGGCGGUCGGAACUUCUAUCAAACUCGUGAAACUGGCUCUGCUGCCGUGUCUGCUGUUUCUGGUCAGACUUCCGACGUCGCUCGCUUCGCCCGCAGCCGCUGCUACCCUCGCAAUUCUGUCGUUCUCCAGGCAUUGGGACAAAGGAAUACCAAAGACCAAACCUCCGGCCGAUUCUGUGGGAUGAAAUAACGACGAACAUUGUCACAAACUUUCCAGGGACCCCGACAGAGGUAAUUCGAAAUUAUAUUCCACGCUCCCCCUCCUUCUUCUUCCCCCCAGCGCCAUUUUGUUUUUCAUUUUUUCCUCCCUUAUCCGUGCACGCGUUUUACUUCUCCGACAAACCGAAGAAAGUACUUCGCUCAACUUCGGAUCGUCGUGCCAAGAUCACGUAAUCUACGACGAAUACCUGAGCCUCGAGUAAAAUUAUAUACAUCUUUGGGAAUCGGUGGUUGUUGCAUCGGUCGUUGGAAAAGUAGAGAAAGUUUGAUCCAGAAAUCGUAGAAAGAAUCGGAGAAAAGAAAAUGGCAGCUUAUCGCAACGGCGUAUCAGGCGAAGGAAAUAUUUCAUACAAGGUGUGUUGUUAUAUUUAUACAGAAAAUAUCGUUGGCUGCGAGGAUAUAACGCGUACCGAUCACGUAUACACCUAUGCGCCGAG
rnacentral:misc_RNA from 1 species